rnacentral:rRNA from 1 species
UGAGUACGAGCUGCUACGGCAGCGAAGUGGGUGAUGUCAUGCUUCCAAGAAAAGCCCUAUACCCGUUAAGGCAUGAUGGCCUGUACCCGAAACCGACACAGGUGGGGUGGUAGAGAAUACCGAGGGGCGCGAGGUAACUCUCUCUAAGGAACUCGGCAAAAUGGCCCCGUAACUUCGGGAGAAGGGGUGCCACCGCAAGGUGGUCGCAGUGAAGAGGCCCAGGCGACUGUUUACCAAAAACACAGGUCUCCGCUAAGUCGCAAGACGAUGUAUGGGGGCUGACGCCUGCCCAGUGCCGGAAGGUUAAGGAAGCUGGUCAGCGUAAGCGAAGCUAGCGACUGAAGCCCCGGUGAACGGCGGCCGUAACUAUAACGGUCCUAAGGUAGCGAAAUUCCUUGUCGGGUAAGUUCCGACCCGCACGAAAGGCGUAACGAUCUGGGCGCUGUCUCGGAGAGAGGCUCGGCGAAAUAGAAUUGUCUGUGAAGAUGCGGACUACGUGCACCCGGACAGAAAGACCCUAUGAAGCUUUACUGUAGCUUGGUAUUGUGCUCGGGCUCGGAAUGCGCAGGAUAGGUGGGAGGCUAUGAACCAUUGCUUGCGGGUGAUGGUGAGCCACUGGUGAGAUACCACUCUUUCCGAGCUAGAGUUCUAACAGCCACCCGUUAUCCGGGGGCUGGACAGUAUCAGGUGGGCAGUUUGACUGGGGCGGUCGCCUCCUAAAAGGUAACGGAGGCGCGCAAAGGUUUGCUCAGGCUGGUUGGAAAUCAGCCGACGAGUGUAAAAGCAGAAGCAAGCUUGACUGUGAGACCUACAAGUCGAACAGGGAGGAAACUCGGCUUUAGUGAUCCGACGGUUCUGCGCGGAAGGGCCGUCGCUCAACGGAUAAAAGUUACUCUAAGGGUAACAGGCUGAUCUCCCCCAAGAGUUCACAUCGACGGGGAGGUUUGGCACCUCGAUGUCGGCUCAUCGCAACCUGGGGCUGAAGUCGGUCCCAAGGGUUGGGCUGUUCGCCCAUUAAAGCGGUACGCGAGCUGGGUUCAGAACGUCGUGAGACAGUUCGGUCCAUAUCCGGUGCAUGCGCAGGAAUAUUGAGAGGAUUUCUCCCUAGUACGAGAGGACCGGGAGGAACGCACCUCUGGUGUACCAGUUAUCGUGCCAACGGUAAACGCUGGGUAGCCAUGUGCGGAGAGGAUAACCGCUGAAAGCAUCUAAGUGGGAAGCCCACCUCAAGAUGAGUAUUCCCAUGGGGUAACCCAGUAAGGUCACGGGAAGAACACCCGUUGAUAGGCUCUACGUGGAAGCGCAGUAAUGUGUGAAGCGGAGGAGUACUAAUAGACCGAGGGCUUGACCAU